rnacentral:lncRNA from 1 species
GCCGGGCCUGCGGCCCUACUAGGCGGUGGGCGACGUGAAUUGCUGCUGCGUUUUGUGUGGAUAUCAAUGUCGGCGGUGGCAUGCAGGUGAGGGCACAUGGACAUGGGUGGGAGCAGCUGGCGAUCUGGGCCUGUGAUUAGUGGUUUGUGCACCUGCGCCUAAACUUGACCGGGAAUGCCCGUGUGUAAUUGUACCAGCAGCCGUUGCCAUCAUCAGCCAUGCAGCACUGCGACUGUGCAAGUGCAGGCGACGCUUGUCCUCUCGUGUAGAUCGAUCGAUUGUUCCUGUGGUUGGUGCAACUUUGAGGGGUCGUAGCAGGACUUGCGAGCGACGGAAAUAAUUGCUUGGGCAUUCGUAGACACCUAUGGCCACUGAAAAUAUAUAAUCUGCUGAGGACGCACCUCCUCUAGGGUAGUACGUUACGGCGAUCCGGAUCUGGCAGCACCGCCCUCACCAGGCUCAGUUACGCACGACGCGGGAUGCGGGCAGGCGACAAACUAAGAGGGUCCUCCAUACUUUUUAGUCCCAUGACUAAAAGUAAUGGGACUAAAACUUGCUAGCCUCAUCCAUGCUUGGAUCCAAGACUAAAUAGACUAAAAUCAAGUUAAUGAGCAUUUAUUAUCCUUCAAACCCUCCAAUCCAGAACUUGCAUGAGGAAUUAAAUGAGGAGAGAGAGGAUUAAUGCACAUUUUAGUAGGGGUACCCUUGAC